GGGGACGUAGCUCAGUUGGCAGAGCGACGCGUUCGCAAUGCGUAGGUCGAGGGUUCGACUCCCUUCGUCUCCACCA
rnacentral:tRNA from 1 species